UACAGGGGGUGCAAACGUUGCUCGGAAUCAUUGGGCGUAAAGCGCACGUAGGCGGUCUGUUAUGUCGGAUGUGAAAGCCCUUGGCUUAACUGAGGAAGUGCAUCCGAAACUGGCAGGCUAGAGUACUAAAGAGGGUCGCGGAAUUCCCGGUGUAGAGGUGAAAUUCGUAGAUAUCGGGAGGAACACCAGUGGCGAAGGCGGCUCUCUGGGACCUCCGCGUGACGCUGAGGCGCGAAGCGUGGGGAGCGAUCCGG
rnacentral:rRNA from 1 species